AUGGGCGCAAGCCUGAUGCAGCCAUGCCGCGUGUAUGAAGAAGGCCUUCGGGUUGUAAAGUACUUUCAGCAGUGAGGAAGGUGGAUGUGUUAAUAGCGCCUUCAUUUGACGUUAGCUGCAGAAGAAGCACCGGCUAACUCCGUGCCAGCAGCCGCGGUAAUACGGAGGGUGCGAGCGUUAAUCGGAAUUACUGGGCGUAAAGCGCAUGCAGGUGGUUUGUUAAGUCAGAUGUGAAAGCCCGGGGCUCAACCUCGGAAUUGCAUUUGAAACUGGCAGACUAGAGUACUGUAGAGGGGGGUAGAAUUUCAGGUGUAGCGGUGAAAUGCGUAGAGAUCUGAAGGAAUACCGGUGGCGAAGGCGGCCCCCUGGACAGAUACUGACACUCAGAUGCGAAAGCGUGGGGAGCAAACAGGAUUAGAUACCCUGGUAGUCCACGCCGUAAACGAUGUCUACUUGGAGGUUGUGGCCUUGAGCCGUGGCUUUCGGAGCUAACGCGUUAAGUAGACCGCCUGG
rnacentral:rRNA from 2 species